AACAGCAAACUCUGGAUGACCCUGUAACCACAUCUCCAGCUCCGCCCGGCGAGGGGCCUCAUCACCCACCAGCAAAGUACCAUCCACCUUAUUGAUGACAGGGAUCCGGGUCUCCAGGUCCAGAUCAAGUGCUGGAGCUGGAGCUGGACGAGGAUGAAGAAGAGGAGGAGGAUGGUGACAACUUGCUCAAGUCCAGCUCAGAGUCUGAAUCAUCCUCGUCCUCCAGUUUCACUGGUGGGACACUCCGGGACAGAGGAGCUGUAUCUGAAGAGCCUACGCGUACUUCAUAGUCUUGUGAGCAGGGCUAAUCAAGUCCCAAAUGAAGCUUUUGAUGUUUUCAUCCCCACGGUAGUGUAGAAGACAGUACACGAGGAUGGCACGGCAUAUUGUCUCAACAUCUCUUUCAGUCAUGCGCCGCUUAAAUCGUCCGUGAGACAAAAUAUCUCUCCAACGUCCCCAACUAACAAAACAGGAAAAGUAAGCAACACAAAUAUUUUGGGGGACAUUCGAAUUCAGUGAUAUUUAUUUCCCUGGUUCCCAGAAUUGCCAUCUCCUCCAAGAGUAGAAAAUAAACAGAAACUCUGUCACAGGCCAAGUGUCUUUCAUGUGGUGCUUCUUGGCCACGUUGUCCAUGGUGAAAGUC
rnacentral:lncRNA from 1 species